CUGGGAGACACAUGGUCCAGGGCAUGGAGCAGUGGGUGUUGUGGAAGAGGUAUCUGGUGGGGUCUUCAGGGGCCCUCCCUGCUCCAUGGAUCACUCCCAGGUAUCCUGAUGGCCUCCACUGCUGGCUUUUUCAACUUCCUCAAAAUGCUUAUGUUCAACCAAGUGUCUCUGGAGUCCCUGCUUUCCCAAACAAAGCUUAAACUUCAUAAAGAGACCGCAGGAGAAGCGCUCAGACUUCUGCCCUCAAGCAAGAAUCAUAAGAUGUUGGAUCCAGGGCUCUGCCAUCCCCUCCUCAUCCACAGAACCCCACAUCUCCACACAGUUCUUUGGAAAAGGGAGUUGCUCCUUCUUGAAUCAAAGCCCAUUCACAUUUUUAAUUGAUACUAGUGACUGCCAUCCUCAUCAGAAUGAGGGAGGAUGCAUCCAUCUAGAGGAGGCCAGGAGGGCGUUACAUCGGCUGUAGUGUGGACACUACCUUCUUGUGAUGUCUAGUGUGACAUUCUGACUCCCGACUAGAAUGGAAGCCCUGAGAGGCAGGACUUGUCUGCUCUGUGCGCUGGAUUAUGGUCAUACAGAGAUAAGUGCCUGCAACUAGUGGGGCUUCCUAUAUGUUUGAUAAAUGAAUGAGCCCCAACCAGCCCCAUCAUGGAUAUAUGAGUGGGCCUGUGGCCUCCCUGCUCACCCCCAAGGAUCCCUCCUCAGACUUUACCCAUGAAAAGGAACCACUAAUGGAAUCUCAAAUCUCAUUUUCCAAUGGGAAAACACUUUAGCCCAAGGCUACAAGAACAGUGAUGAAUGAGGCAGAGGCUUCGUCAUGGCAUGAGGGAAAUGAUAAAUUAGCACAAACAUGGCCCUGCAGCAGUUCUUGCCCCAGGGCCAGGCACCCGGACAGCACUUUCCAUGGUGGACCCACUUAGUUUUGAAAAUAACCCUAUGAGGUUGGUGCUCUAUUCACUCCAAGGUUCACAGGAGCAAACUGAGGCUCAGAGAGGGGCAGUGACAUUCUGAAGUCUCACAGCUAGUAAGUCACCAAAACACCACUGUCUCGUGGACGGACUUAGUGCUCGCCUUUGAACAGCAGGUCGAGUGCUGUUGGGUGUUGGCAGAAGCUCUGCAGGUGCCCAGGAGGGUGGGCACGUAUGAGGGGUCACUGCCCAGGAAGGCGAACACCAGGUGCUCCACUUGCUUUUCUGGCCUGCCUCCCUGGACGGUCCACACCAUGCGGGUCUCUU
rnacentral:lncRNA from 1 species